rnacentral:hammerhead_ribozyme from 1 species
AUCUAGCUGACGAGUCCCAAAUAGGACGGGACGCGCGCCCUGGAU